rnacentral:rRNA from 1 species
CCCUUAGAUGUUCUGGGCCGCACGCGCGCUACACUGAUGCAUUCAACGAGUUUCUUCCUGGUCCGAGAGGAAUGGGUAACCUUUUGAAAGUGCAUCGUGAUAGGGAUAGACUAUUGCAAUUAUUGGUCUUCAACGAGGAAUUCCUAGUAGACGUAGUUCAUCAGACUGCAUCGAUUACGUCCCUGCCCUCUGUACACACCGCCCGUCGCUCCUACCGAUUGAAUGCUCAGGUGAGCCAUUCGGACUUUCAUCAUGCUGGUUUCCAGUUUUGAUGAAGGAAAGUCUUGCGAACCUUAUCAUUUAGAGGAAGGAGAAGUCGUAACA